AUUACAUGUUGUGGUUUCAGGCCU
rnacentral:siRNA from 1 species